rnacentral:rRNA from 1 species
AUUGAACGCUGGCGGAAGGCUUAACACAUGCCAGUCGAGCGAUCGGCAGACGGGUGAGUAAUGUCUGGGAAACUGCAUGAUGGAGGGGGAUAACUACUGGAAACGGUAGCUAAUACCGAAUACAGUACGCUGUGCCCAGCUGGGAUUAGCUAGUAGGUGGGGUAAUGGCUCACCUAGGCGACGAUCCCUAGCUGGUCUGAGAGGAGUACCAUCCACACUGGAACUGAGACACGGUCCAGACUCCUACGGGAGGCAGCAGGGGGGAAUAUUGCACAAUGGGCGCAAGCCUGAUGCAGCCAUGCCGCGUGUGUGAAGAAGGCCUUCGGGUUGUAAAGCACUUUCAGCGAGGAGGCGUUACUCGCAGAAGAAGCACCGGCUAACGCCGUGCCAGCCGCCGCGGUAAUAC